rnacentral:siRNA from 1 species
UGUGUUUUUGGGUGAAUUGUUC